rnacentral:lncRNA from 1 species
ACAGAGAUAAACAGAAGAAAUAGCUAAUACACAUAAUGCUAUGAAUUUAUAGAACAACUUUAUCCUCGCUGAUCAGUCCAAGGGCUUCUUUCACAAAGGGCUCUGGGUACCUCUACUUGUGAUCAGCUUCCCAACUGCACCGAUGCUAUCUCUCUUUGAAAAAAACCAAAGAAACAUUUUUUGGUCUCGAAUAGUGAUACUCGGUUUAUUUUAGCUUUAUUUGUGCCUUUUGUUUUUAUAAUCUUUUUCCAAUUACCCAUUCCCUGACAAAGAACUCUCCUUGGUUCUCAAAGACAAACGAUCAAGCAGAAGUCACUUACACCAUCCUGACAGCUCCAGUGACAAUCAGCUCCCGUAGCCCCUCACAUUGGUCUGCUGAGAUGGGGGAUUUGUGUUGGCUGCAGGGAUGUGCUGGUCAAUGUUAAACAGCUAGGUCUCUGAAAAAUAAGCUAAUCUGCAUCAUUAACAUUUUUUCCAUCACUUUCUUAAGUCUAGACAGUCAAUGAAACAAUAAGUCAAGCCCUGAAUUUUUAGCAUUUACCAAUUUCUGAGGUGUCAAUGCUCACAUGUUAGUACUAUGUUGGCACCAUGGGUGAUACAGGGAAGCAUAGUUCCUGACCUCUGGGAGCUCAUAGUGUAGUUGGGGAGAGAGAAUUAACCACAUGGAAAUAAGUACUUUAUCCAACUAACUACAGGACAAUCUGGGUAAUACCAUGUUAAUGACAGAGGAUGGAGGCACUCAGCCAAUAUAUCUGGGCCAAGUCAAACCCCACUUAUACCUCAAAUAUUCAGGUAAACAAAGCCAAUAUAAGGCUUUGGCCAAGUUUGGGAGAUAAUUGCUUUUUCUCUUCAUUUUAGUAGGUCAUCUAUAGGCUGGCCCUGUGGUGCUGAAGAGAUGGGGAUCCAGCUACUGCUGAAACUUGAAAGGAGGUGAAUGUGUUGGCAUUCAAGUUCUACUUGGGAGAUAUUAUCUUUCUAUUCUGCCACUCCACCUUCUUUUCACAGCAAACUGAAGAUGGAAGGGGCGGUGGGCAGCAAAUGGGUUGUGAUUGCCUCUGAAACAGUUUGUUAACAGGUUUACUGUGGGGGUGCUCCUGGUUUGCAGAGGUUGUCUUGUGGCCAGCUGAAAUGCAUGGCAGGGCAAAGCUAGCAAUGUGCUCACCAUCCGUCACCAAGCUGGGGGCCAAUAGAGACCACACUCACUUUCCAUUCUCUGCUAGUUUCUAUAAAUUGCACACAGAUGCACAUGACUGGCCUCCUUAAGGGACUUGGGAUUCUGAAUACAGAAAUGGAACUUGAGGCCCAUUAUGCUGAAGCUUAUGCAGGAAUAAUGAGGGGAAAGAUACUGUAAUGGGAGUUUCUGCGUCUAAUAAAGGGAAAUUUAUUCAGAGAGUUCCA